AGUGACAUUAUUGUCCAUGUGUUUCCAUGAAGCAAAACUCAAGAUACCAACCUGAUGGUGGCCUGUUGUGACGUCCCAGACCGGUCAUCAAGACUUGAGGUGGGAGAUAAGGACAAG
rnacentral:lncRNA from 1 species